rfam:Methylobacterium platani strain SE2.11 contig_37, whole genome shotgun sequence.
CAUCGGCUGCGGGCCCCUCUGGCGAGCUGCGCUUUUCGCGCUCGUGAUGUCGGAGCCGAUGC